rnacentral:rRNA from 1 species
GACGAACGCUGGCGGCGUGCUUAACACAUGCAAGUCGAGCGGUAAGGCCCUUUCGGGGGGUACACGAGCGGCGAACGGGUGAGUAACACGUGGGUGACCUGCCCUCAGCUCUGGGAUAAGCCCGGGAAACUGGGUCUAAUACCGGAUAUGACUCCAUGACGCAUGUUGUGGGGUGGAAAGCCUUGUGCGGCUGAGGAUGGGCCCGCGGCCUAUCAGCUUGUUGGUGGGGUGAUGGCCUACCAAGGCGACGACGGGUAGCCGGCCUGAGAGGGCGACCGGCCACACUGGGACUGAGACACGGCCCAGACUCCUACGGGAGGCAGCAGUGGGGAAUCUUGCGCAAUAGGGCGAAAGCCUGAACGCAGCGACGCCGCGUGAGGGAUGAC